AUCGCUUCUCGGCCUUUUGGCUAAGAUCAAGUGUAGUAUCUGUUCUUAUCAGUUUAAUAUCUGAUACGUCCUCCAAUGUGAGGACUAUAUAUUAAAUGGAUUUUUAGCACUGGGAGCUGAAAGAGGGGUUUGCUCCUUUCACUCCACGCAUCGACCUGGUACUGCAGUGCUGCCAGGAACGGUGCAUCCUUC
ensembl:snRNA U2 U2 spliceosomal RNA